rnacentral:rRNA from 1 species
GGACUACUAGGGUUUCUAAUCCUGUUUGCUCCCCUAGCUUUCGUGCAUCAGCGUCAGUUAUGGUCCAGUGAGCCGCUUUCGCCACAGGUGUUCCUCCUGAUAUCUACGCAUUUCACCGCUACACCAGGAAUUCCACUCACCUCUCCCAUACUCAAGCCCUGCAGUUUCUCAUGCAGUCUAUGAGUUGAGCCCAUAGAUUUCACAUAAGACUUACAAAACCGCCUACGCACCCUUUACGCCCAAUAAUUCCGAACAACGCUCGCCCCCCUCGUAUUACCGCGGCUGCUGGCAC